AUGGACAGGCUUCCUUCCUUCCUCCUGCUGCUGACCAUCCCUCCAUGUGUGCUGUCACAGAUCACCCUGAAGGAGUCUGGUCCUGGGCUGCUGCAGCCAUUUCAGUCUCUCAAGCUCACCUGUUCCUUCUCUGGAUUUUCUCUGAGCACUUCUGGAAUAGGUGUGGGCUGGAUCCGUCAGCCCCCAGGGAAGGCUCUGGAAUGGUUGGCACACAUUUGGUGGGAUGAUGAUAAGAAUUACAGCCCAUCACUGAAGAGCCGACUCACAAUUUCCAAGGACACCUCCAAAAACCAGGUGUUCCUCACCUUGACCAGUGUGAACCCUGAGGAUACUGCCACAUACUACUGUGCUCGGAGGGCACAGAGAUACAGCCUUGGGUGA